rnacentral:rRNA from 1 species
CCUACGGGAGGCAGCAGUGGGGAAUAUUGCACAAUGGGGGAAACCCUGAUGCAGCGACGCCGCGUGAGUGAAGAAGUAUUUCGGUAUGUAAAGCUCUAUCAGCAGGGAAGAAAAUGACGGUACCUGAUUAAGAAGCCCCGGCUAACUACGUGCCAGCAGCCGCGGUAAUACGUAGGGGGCAAGCGUUAUCCGGAUUUACUGGGUGUAACGGGAGCGUAGACGGCAGCACAAGUCUGGAGUGAAAUGCCCGGGCUGAACCCCGGAACUGCUUUGGAAACUGUGCAGCUAGAGUGCAGGAGAGGGAAGUGGAAUUCCUAGUGUAGCGGUGAAAUGCGUAGAUAUUAGGAGGAACACCAGUGGCGAAGGCGGCUUACUGGACUGUAACUGACGUUGAGGCGCGAAAGCGUGGGGAGCAAACAGGAUUAGAUACCCCAGUAGUC